CAUUUGUAGCCUGCUAUGGUAUAACUUAGUGGCAGACGGGUGAGUAAUGUAUAGGAAUCUACCUAGUAGUACGGAAUAAUUGUUGGAAACGGCAACUAAUACCGUAUACGCCCUACGGGGGAAAAAUUUAUUGCUAUUAGAUGAGCCUAUAUUAGAUUAGCUAGUUGGUGGAGUAAUAGCCUACCAAGGCAAUGAUCUAUAGCUGAUCUGAGAGGAUGAUCAGCCACACUGGAACUGAGAUACGGUCCAGACUCCUACGGGAGGCAGCAGUGGGGAAUAUUGGACAAUGGCGAAAGCCUGAUCCAGCUAUGCCGCAUGAGUGAAGAAGGCCUUUGGGUUGUAAAGCUCUUUUAGUGAGGAAGAUAAUGACGGUACUCACAGAAGAAGUCCUGGCUAACUCCGUGCCAGCAGCCGCGGUAAUACGGAGAGGGCUAGCGUUAUUCGGAAUUAUUGGGCGUAAAGGGCGCGUAGGCUGAUUAAUAAGUUAAAAGUGAAAUCCCGAGGCUUAACCUUGGAAUUGCUUUUAAAACUAUUAAUCUAGAGAUUGAAAGAGGAUAGAGGAAUUCCUGAUGUAGAGGUAAAAUUCGUAAAUAUUAGGAGGAACACCAGUGGCGAAGGCGUCUAUCUGGUUCAAAUCUGACGCUGAGGCGCGAAGGCGUGGGGAGCAAACAGGAUUAGAUACCCUGGUAUCCAUGCUAUAAACGAUGAAUGUUAAAUAUGGGAAGUUUACUUUCUGUAUUACAGCUAACGCGUUAAACAUUCCGCCUGGGGACUACGGUCGCAAGAUUAAAACUCAAAGGAAUUGACGGGGACCCGCACAAGCGGUGGAGCAUGUGGUUUAAUUCGAUGCAACGCGAAAAACCUUACCACUUCUUGACAUGAAAAUCAUACCUAUUC
rnacentral:rRNA from 1 species